rnacentral:miRNA from 1 species
AUUAGGUUGGUGCAAAAGCAAUUGUGGUUUUUGCCAAAGUUGUGGCAAAGGCUGGAAUUGCCUUUGCACCAACCUAA